rnacentral:rRNA from 1 species
GAAUAUUGCACAAUGGGCGCAAGCCUGAUCCAGCCAUGCCGCGUGGGUGAAGAAGGCCUUCGGGUUGUAAAGCCCUUUUGUCCGGAAAGAAAAGCACUGGAUUAAUACUUCGGUGUUCUGACGGUACCGGAAGAAUAAGCACCGGCUAACUUCGUGCCAGCAGCCGCGGUAAUACGAAGGGUGCAAGCGUUACUCGGAAUUACUGGGCGUAAAGCGUGCGUAGGUGGUUCGUUAAGUCUGAUGUGAAAGCCCUGGGCUCAACCUGGGAAUUGCAUUGGAUACUGGCGGGCUAGAGUGCGGUAGAGGAUGGCGGAAUUCCCGGUGUAGCAGUGAAAUGCGUAGAGAUCGGGAGGAACAUCUGUGGCGAAGGCGGCCAUCUGGACCAGCACUGACACUGAGGCACGAAAGCGUGGGGAGCAAACAGG